GGGCCCGCACAAGCGGAGGAACAUGUGGUUUAAUUCGAUGAUACGCGAGGAACCUUACCCGGGCUUGAAUUGCAGAGGAAAGAUCCAGAGAUGGUGAUGCCCUUCGGGGCCUCUGUGAAGGUGCUGCAUGGUUGUCGUCAGCUCGUGCCGUGAGGUGUCGGCUUAAGUGCCAUAACGAGCGCAACCCCUUUCUUUAGUUGCCAUCAGGUAAUGCUGGGCACUCUGGAGAUACUGCCACCGUAAGGUGUGAGGAAGGUGGGGAUGACGUCAAAUCAGCACGGCCCUUACGUCCGGGGCUACACACGUGUUACAAUGGCCGGUACAGAGAGAAGGUUGCUUGCAAAAGUAAUCAAAUCCUUAAAACCGGUCCCAGUUCGGACUGGGGUCUGCAACUCGACCCCACGAAGCUGGAUUCGCUAGUAAUCGCGCAUCAGCCAUGGCGCGGUGAAUACGUUCCCGGGCCUU
rnacentral:rRNA from 1 species